GAUCAUCCCACGUUUUGUGUAUCCAGCCUCAUGGAGAUAUUGUGGUAUUUGAGUCGUCUUCCCUGAACCAGUUUCACCAACAAUUAUAAGAACCUGAUGAUCUUCAACAGCUUUUAGCAAAGACUCUCGAUACGGAUACACAGGUAAAGUUUUUCUGUCUGCAAGAAGCUUCUCGCGUGCUGAUUUUGCUAUGAUUCUUUCAUGUUCUUCCUCUUCCUCUUCAUCAACAUUGACACCACCCAUGACUUGUUCCUGUAUGAACUCAAUCUGGUCCUCAAACACAAAGUUAUAAUCGUCAGAUUGCCUUUUGUUUUUUGAUCCAAAUUUUAGCGUUGCUUUGUUAAUCUGAUGAUCCUCCCAUGCUUCUUGUUCGGCAAACAGAUUCAUCUUAUCUCCAUCUUUUGAAUCUAUGUAUCGCUCCAAAGCUACAGCAAAUCUUUUCUCUUGAUUGACUCCGCCUUCUUCAUCAUAUGCAUCAGGCAUAUGAUACUCAUUGACAUUAUCAUCCACUUGUGACCGCUUCUUGACUAGCUCAUAUACUUGUUUCUUGUAUCUUAGUUCACGUUGUUUGGCUUCAGUUAACUUGAAGCCCUCAAAUAGAUACUCUUCAUCUUCUAUAUCAUCUUUGAUUUCCUCCAUUUUCUUCUGCUCCCUUUUCUUGAGAUAUUCUUGCCUCGAAACUUUUCUUAAAGCUCGAAUGUCAUCAUCUUUCAAGGCAUUGGCUCUCCUGAUUGCUUCUUUUUCAUCCCUCUUAGACAACUUCUGUUCAGUCAGCUUUCUUAUCCUUGAUGCAUCUUUUUCCCUUAAACGACGCUCCAAAUCUUCUCGUUCUAUUUGGUCACGUAAUCUUUCUUCUUCAGAUUCAGAAUAAUCUGAUUUUUCAUGAGAAGAUUUUUGUUUGACCCUUCUUUCUUGUUUCAAAAUUCCAGCUCCCUCAUCAUCAUCAUCAUCAUCAUCAUCAUCUUGGUUUUGGCUCCUCUUCCUAAAUCGUUUCACAUCUUUAUCGACAACAGAAACAGAGCCACCAGGCACAUCUUUGGCAUCAUCGUCAUCUGCCUCCAAUAGCGUGCAAGUGAUCCUCUGCUUCCUGGUUAGCAUUGGUGCAGCCUCUUCUUGUUGUCGAUAAAGAUUUGAUCCAGAACUCUUGUGUUCAACUUUCUGGAAAAUUUCUUCAGCAAAUACACGUGUUUCGUUUGAAGAUGGCACACCCAUAUCUUUACGAUUACUAAAUAUACCAUAAGAUGAUGAAUCUUUAUUAACUAAACUAAUUAGGGAAUAAUAUGGACUGAAUCAGCGUGGGUUGUGAAUAUCCCAAAAGGGGGAUCAGUCUUUUUAAACCCCAACUCCCCAAGUGUUCAAGUUAAACGUAUUGGACAAGUUCCGUGUUGAACAAGUAACUGGUCAAACAAAGCCACCUUUUCAGGCUUCUAAAACAUGUUAAAUUAGGGUUAUUGGAUGAGUAAAUUACAUGACUGGUCCCUAUGGUUUGGGGUAAUUUACGCGUUUGGUUCUUAGCUUAUUUUUUUUAACUUAGAAGGUCCUUACUGUUUGUUUUUGUUACGUGUUUAGUUCCUAUUGUUUAUUUUUGUUACGCGUUUGGUCCCUUCUUUACCUAAAAAAACUAUUAUUUAAAUAAGAAAAAAUGGUGGGGUAGAUAAGGUAAGGUGAAAGGGGUGUGGUUGGGGAGUGUUUAUUUAAAUAAAUUAAAGACAAAAUUGCAAAAAUGGUCCAUGUGGUAUGCAAAAUUUUGGGGUUUUAGUCCAAACCACGAGUUUUUUGGAACCAUAGUCCUUUUGGAGUGGUUUCUAUGUGGUUUUGGUCCCUGGACUUAACUCCCAUUAAGUUGGAACUGUUAAGCCCCCUCACGUGCCUCACACGUGAGGGUAAUUUCGUCAUUUCAUAUAUCAAGGACCAUUUUUGCAUAAACGUUUUUUUGGAUUAAUUCCUUUUAAAUACCCCCACUUCCUGCGAUCUUCUUCCCCAACGUCUCUUUUCUUCUACCCUUCUUCUUCUUGAGCUCUGCUACAACAAAAAUGGUGUUAUGUUUUUGUGGAAAAGUUGCUGUGGUGAAAACGUCUUGGACCCCUCUGAAUCCAUGAAGGAGAUUUUUUGCAUGCCCUAUGAAUGAUUCCGUUUGUGGGUUUAUUGGGUGGCUUGAUCCCCCAAUGUGUGCUAGGUCUAAAGCCAUCAUACCUGGUCUGCUAAGAAAUUUGAAUUCAGUGUAGGAACGGUGCAAUGAGUUGGUUAGAGGUAUGAACAUGCUACAGGAUCAAUGCAAUGGACUGAUAUGCAUGAACAACAUUUUGGUGGCAAAUGUCAGAGCAUUGAAGGAUGAUAAUUUGAAGUUGAAAAUGUACAUGUUUGGAAGUUGGUUUUUCUUUGUGAUUGUAUUCUUUUAUAUUUGGUUUGUGUAGGGGUAUACUCUGAAGGGUGUUUUGGUCAUUUUUUUGUAAUUUUAUGUGAUCAAGUUUGUAGUGACUUAUGAUGAUAAUGAUAUAUGUACAAUU
rnacentral:lncRNA from 1 species